CCAAUGAUGGGACCCAUGGGUCCUAUGAUGAGGGGGCCAAUGAUGGGACAACCAAGAAAACCAAUGAAAUGAUCACCCAUAGGAUGUGUGUGGUAGCUGAGGACAUUAGCGUGUGUGGAUGGUGUGAUGUGUGAGGACUCAUGUUGAAAGUGAUCCUGUUUCAUCUUGUGUUUCUGACUGUGGAGCAUGUGUUGACAGGGGAGAAAAUGUACACUUUAUACAUGUUCUACAUGUAGUUAAAUGAUGUGUGACUGGUUAAAAUGAAUUUGUCAGUUUUUAUCUUCUUUUUUUUGUGUGUAUGUAAAUACAAUGUCAUCAAAAUAAAAUUU
rnacentral:misc_RNA from 1 species